CACGUAGGGCGCAAGCGUUGUCCGGAAUUAUUGGGCGUAAAGAGCUCGUAGGUGGUUGUUACGUCCGCUGUGAAAUCCUAGGGCUUAACCCUGGCUGCAGUGGAUACGGCAGACUAGAGGUAGGUAGGGGAGAUGGAAUUCCUGGUGUAGCGGUGAAAUGCGCAGAUAUCAGGAGGAACACCGGUGGCGAAGGCGGUUCUCUGGGCCUUACCUGACACUGAGGAGCGAAAGCGUGGGGAGCGAACAGG
rnacentral:rRNA from 1 species